UACAGAGGUCUCAAGCGUUGUUCGGAUUCAUUGGGCGUAAAGGGCGCGUAGGCGGCGGGGUAAGUCUGGUGUGAAAUCUCGGAGCUCAACUCCGAAAUUGCACUGGAUACUGCUCUGCUAGAGGGCUGGAGAGGAGAUCGGAAUUCACGGUGUAGCAGUGAAAUGCGUAGAUAUCGUGAGGAAGACCAGUGGCGAAGGCGGAUCUCUGGACAAAUCCUGACGCUGAGGCGCGAAGGCUAGGGGAGCAAACGGG
rnacentral:rRNA from 1 species